GACGGAGGGCGCAAGCGUUGUUCGGAAUUACUGGGCGUAAAGCGUGCGUAGGUGGAUAGUUAAGUCGGAUGUGAAAGCCCCGGGCCCAACCUGGGAACUGCAUUCGAGACUGGCUAUCUAGAGUAUAGUAGAGGAAGGUGGAAUUCCCGGUGUAGCGGUGGAAUGCGUAGAUAUCGGGAGGAACAUCAGUGGCGAAGGCGACCUUCUGGACUAAUACUGACACUGAGGUACGAAAGCGUGGGGAGCAAACAGG
rnacentral:misc_RNA from 1 species